UUAAUGAACUAUUGUUUUGUAGUGAUUUAGAGUCUUAUAUAUUAAUACUAAUAUUGAUAUUUAGUAUUAAUAUGAGGACUUAAAAACAAAAAAAAAUCAAUCAGUUCACUCCAAGCAGAAUCAGUAUUUUAAUGUUUCUGUUCCUGCGUUCUUUCUGUAUUAUUAAUGUUCCGAAACACUGGUUAAUAACAUUAUUUUUUAACCUUUUUUUGUAUGUAGCCUACUUUAUUAUAAUAAUAAUAAUAAUAAUACGUACAGCAUUUUCUUUAUUCAAAAACAAAGCGAGUCUUGCCGUCUUAGCCAAUACAAUUAUCUUUUAUAACAAGAUUCUGUCCAAAUGUAAACCUAUUAAACGAAAGGAAAAACUAUCAACGGUUUUUAAAUUAAAGUGUAUUUUCAAGAUAUUUUCAAAUGUUUGCUGCAUGGUUAAAAAUGCGCUACUCAUGAGAGGAAAAAAGAUAAGUCUUGUAUACAACACAUUUUAUUAUUACGUUCAGAAAUAAUGUAAAUUGCCAGUAAUAAAGUAGAAUGUUUACAAAUAGCCUAGCCUAUAUAGCUUUGUUUAUAAUGUUUGUAAACAUAAAUUAUGAACAAAACUGCCCUAAUUUACUUUCCACUAUGCACUCCACAACAAAACCUAUAAAGUUAACAGUAGGCCUAUUUAGGCUAUAUAAAUGUCAAGCCAAAACGAAUUUUAAAAAUUCUCUUUUCUUUAAUGCCAUUCCAGCUUCUAUUGCUAUAUUCACAGUCAGAAACAGGUUUAUUUAUUAGAAAUAAAACUAAAUAAGAUGCAAAACAGAUUAAUUUUAAAUGUAUCUGAAGCCUACAUUUUUCAUUUGCACAAAUCUAACUGUUUAUAUUUUCGCGACGUAUGCUGAACUAUUUUGUAUGUACUCAAUGUAAUCAAUUAUUUAUUAUGUAAUCUUUGUCCUUCACUAGCAUUAUCAAUGUAAAACAUCAUCCUUCACAUAUAAGAGCACAGUGAGGCGGUGGUCACGGGUGGUAAAUGGCACAGAUUGGAUUACAGAUUAUUAAAUUGAGAAGUGUAACGUUUUGUAUGUUUGGUUGACUGUAUUUUAUUUUAAUAUUUAACAGGCUGCGAUAUCAAGUAAGCAAUACAAGAAUUUUUGUGUGCGCUUGAGGUGUCGGUGCGACCGCUGGAUUUUUAAAGUAAACUGUACUCGAAGCGCUGCAGGUGCGUGAUGUGACGUUGUGUGAACUGAUGUUCUACACUAUCCUGCAAUUUUCACUGGUUUCAAAACACAACAAGCUGCAUAUUACUUCAUUUUCACCUAAAUGUAGGCCUAAUGCUUGACGGUGGGUGACAUAUAUCUUCAGAAAAACUAAUGCCAGGGCAUUGCCAUUGUCACUUACCUAACCUAUGAUGACUUGACAGUUGAGCCUGGACGCAGACAUUUCACUCACUUUAGAGUCUGAGCCCGGGCAUUUCACUCACUUUAGAGCCUGAGCACGGGUAUUUCACUCACGUUGGAUGUGUCAUCGUCACAUUUGCAUCGGCUGUUCUAUUUGAAUUCGUGAUUGGUUGACUGCCAAAACAAAAUAUCAAACAGAAUGAUAAAAUAAUGUUAUUAACCAUUAUUAAUGGGCAUUUAAAAUAAGUGUUUCUGUUCAGAUCGAUUAAAUUUGAUUUUGUUUCCAUUUCUGAUUAUAUUCUAGGGGUGGGCGAUAUGACCAAAAUUUUGUAUCACGAUAUGAGUAAUUUUAUAUCACGAUAGCAAUAUAUAUCACGAUAUAGUUAUUUUUGCUUUAAGUACGAUUUUAUGAUGAUAAAAUUUUUCAAACCAUUGAAAUUUCAUAAUUCUUAUCACCAAUUUCAAUAUCAUUUAAAAAAUUAAUACUAGCCUAAAAAACUCUAAAAAAAAAAAUAAAUAAAAAAAAUAAAAAAAGACAAAUGAACUGAUAAAGAAAGAGCAAAGAAAACAAACUACAAUAGAACAAAGACAGAUGAAAUAGACCAACCAGAAAAACUUCAAGCACUAGAAAUACUACAUAAAAUGUAUAAAGUAAUCAAAGGUAUAAAAAAAUGCAAAACAGUCUUUACUGUGUAAAUUAAAUAUACAUUUAUACUUAUUAAAGUUACAAAAGCAAGCAGUGAGAGAUUUCUCUCUUUUUUGUAGUUUGAUUAGCAUUUAUAAUGACACCAGGUAAAUUUGGAUGGUGUCCCUUUAAGACUGACUGCGCCGAUCCAUUAUACUCAAGCCUUGUCUUUCUCAACAGUAUCUUCACUUAAGAGAUAAAUGGCCCUGUUUACUUAUAAAUGCGUGGUUACUUUGACACAUAGGUAUGUGUAUUUAACCAUUCAAGCCCCAAAAGCACUCAGUUCAGUCCUCAAGCUCUCUAGGUUAUUUUUCACUGCUAAUUGCGCUUUAACAGUUUAAAACGACUUGUUUUUAAACCGCAAUGCUUAAAAACUCAUGCAAAUUGUAAGCUUUCAUGACCGCGCAGCAUAGCAACCUCACCUGAGUGUAACCGCGACAAAGACGAUAGUCCAAAAUCUCUACCGGUUGACAAAUUUCUACCAGCUAAUCGUGUCUACCAGUUUAUCCCGUACUUAUUGUGCUUAAUAACACUUUAACAUCGAGCACAACCCUAAUUCGCAAUCGCCUUCUGAGGCAGGUUUCUGUGCACGCACUUUGGCAGUGUGCCAGUUAGCACGAGUGCUGCACCGAGUUCCUUUUCAGGAUAUACUGGGCUUAUAACACCAGCCAGGGAAUUUCACCUUAACAGUAAAGAAUCAUGGGAGAUUGUGGACUGAAUUAGAAUUAGAUAAAUUGGAUAAGUUCGUCAUCUGACCAAUCUGAAGGAUUUGUGAAAUAUUGUUAACUUGUAUAGCCUCUUACUGUAUGAUCAACACAAGGAAGACACGUGUAAUAAAAGGAUUUUAUUAGCAAAAGUAUAGACAAGAGUAACUAACAACUACUGAAUGGAAAAAUAUUGAUAAAUUCAAGUGACUUGAGUUGGAUGUUACUAAGGCAGUUACAAGUUAUCUUAUGGAAAGAUAAACAGUGGUUCCUCUGGAAGUAAAUAAGGUAAAUCUUAUUCUGAAUUCAAAUAAAUCGAGAGAUUAUUUGUUAUUAACUGCUAUUUGUUAUUAUCAGCUAUGCAAAAUCUAAUGCAAAUUAGAUAUCAUAUACUUACAAUAUAUUAUCAUUUACUGACAAUAUACACUAAUGUCUUGGUCUCUGGAAAGAGGUUUGGUAUAGUGAUAUUUACUUCUGCCUGGUGACGUGGUUGGUGUUCCCUGGUGAGUCCCAGCGGUGACAUCUUUCACAGCUGGGCCACAUUGCAGUGGGAUGAAAGGAGUUGGAAUCCAUUUCUCUUUCAAAGUUUUUUUUAUUGAUAUUUACAUUAUAAAUCACAUGAAACAAUCCCCCAACCCUCACCAUCAAAUAACUAGCGCAGCAUCCAUACUGUCCAUUAAUUCAGAUAAGAAUUGUAAGUAGAAGAACCGAGCAUACAUAUAUACGUCAACAUAUGUCAGCCUCCAGCCAUAUAUAAAAAGAGAUACAUGCACAUACACUCUGGAGAAAAAAAAUAAAUAAAUAAA